rnacentral:rRNA from 1 species
AGCGAACGCUAGCGGCGAGCUUAACACAUGCAAGUCGAGCGGAGGGUUUCGGCCCUCAGCGGCGGACGGGUGAGUAACACGUAGGUUACGUGCCCUUUGGUGGGGAAUAACUUAGGGAAACCUGAGCUAAUACCGCAUAUGCCCUUCGGGCUGAUGUUUACAAGCUCGCGCUCUAGGAUGGGUCCGCGGCCCAUCAGCUAGUUGGUAGGGUAACGGCCUACCAAGGCAACGACGGGUAGCUGGUCUGAGAGGAUGAUCAGCCACACUGGAACUGAGACACGGUCCAGACUCCUACGGGAGGCAGCAGUGGGGAAUCUUGCGCAAUGGACGAAAGUCUGACGCAGCGACGCCGCGUGGGUGACGAAGGCCUUCGGGUUGUAAAGCCCUGUGGGGAGAGACGAACCGGCUCGUGGCUAAUAUCCACGGGUCUUGACGGUAUCUCCUUAGCAAGCAUCGGCUAACUCUGUG